rnacentral:rRNA from 1 species
GAUGAACGCUGGCGGCGUGCCUAAUACAUGCAAGUAGAACGCUGAAGGAGGAGCUUGCUCUUCUGGAUGAGUUGCGAACGGGUGAGUAACGCGUAGGUAACCUGCCUGGUAGCGGGGGAUAACUAUUGGAAACGAUAGCUAAUACCGCAUAACAGUAGAUAUUGCAUGAUAUCUGCUUGAAAGGUGCAAUUGCAUCACUACCAGAUGGACCUGCGUUGUAUUAGCUAGUUGGUGAGGUAACGGCUCACCAAGGCGACGAUACAUAGCCGACCUGAGAGGGUGAUCGGCCACACUGGGACUGAGACACGGCCCAGACUCCUACGGGAGGCAGCAGUAGGGAAUCUUCGGCAAUGGACGGAAGUCUGACCGAGCAACGCCGCGUGAGUGAAGAAGGUUUUCGGAUCGUAAAGCUCUGUUGUAAGAGAAGAACGAGUGUGAGAGUGGAAAGUUCACACUGUGACG